rnacentral:rRNA from 1 species
GUCUUCUUGUUAUAUUUAGGAAGUCUGGCCUGCCCAGUGAAAUUAAUUUAACGGCCGCGGUAUAUUGACCGUGCAAAGGUAGCAUAAUCAUUAGUCUUUUAAUAGAGGGCUGGUAUGAAGGGUUUAACGAGGUGUUGACUGUCUCAUUUAAUUUGAAUAUUAGAAUUUAAUUUUUUAGUUAAAAAGCUAAAAUAUUAUUGGAAGACGAGAAGACCCUAUAGAGCUUUAUAUUUUUGUUAUUAAUUUAUUAUAGAUUAUUAUUAUUUAUUAUUAAUAAAAAGUAUUUUGUUGGGGUGACAAAAAUAUAUGAAUAACUUUUUUAUUUAAUUUACAUUGAUAUAUGAAUAUUAGAUCCAAUCUUAUUGAUUGUUAGAUUAAGUUACCUUAGGGAUAACAGCGUAAUCCUCCUCCAGAGUUCUUAUUUACAGGAGGGCUUGCGACCUCGAUGUUGGAUUAAGAUAAUAAUUAGGUGCAGCCGCUUAAUUAAUAGGUCUGUUCGACCUUUAAAUUCUU